UUGAUUCUUUGUAUCAGAUUCAGACCACAUGCAUAUUCCAGCAUAAAAGCGGCGUCCGUUGGACUCCGAAGCACAUUUAUCACUUCCACAUGUUUGAGAGGUAGAAGGUCAGAAGACCAUUCAAUAAUGAUCCCUCCGCAGGUUCACCUACGGAGA
rnacentral:misc_RNA from 1 species